CAGGCCUAACACAUGCAAGUCGGACGGUAGCACAGAGGAGCUUGCUCCUUGGGUGACGAGUGGCGGACGGGUGAGUAAUGUCUGGGGAUCUGCCCGAUAGAGGGGGAUAACCACUGGAAACGGUGGCUAAUACCGCAUAACGUCGCAAGACCAAAGAGGGGGACCUUCGGGCCUCUCACUAUCGGAUGAACCCAGAUGGGAUUAGCUAGUAGGCGGGGUAAUGGCCCACCUAGGCGACGAUCCCUAGCUGGUCUGAGAGGAUGACCAGCCACACUGGAACUGAGACACGGUCCAGACUCCUACGGGAGGCAGCAGUGGGGAAUAUUGCACAAUGGGCGCAAGCCUGAUGCAGCCAUGCCGCGUGUAUGAAGAAGGCCUUCGGGUUGUAAAGUACUUUCAGCGGGGAGGAAGGCGGUGAGGUUAAUAACCUCGCCGAUUGACGUUACCCGCAGAAGAAGCACCGGCUAACUCCGUGCCAGCAGCCGCGGUAAU
rnacentral:rRNA from 1 species